rnacentral:rRNA from 1 species
CUCGCAUGGUAGGAGAGCGUUCCGUAAGCCUGCGAAGGUGCCUUGUAAAGGGUGCUGGAGGUAUCGGAAGUGCGAAUGCUGACAUGAGUAGCGAUAAAGGGGGUGAAAGGCCCCCUCGCCGUAAGCCCAAGGUUUCCUACGCAACGUUCAUCGGCGUAGGGUGAGUCGGCCCCUAAGGCGAGGCAGAAAUGCGUAGCUGAUGGGAAGCAGGUCAAUAUUCCUGCACCGUCGUUAGAUGCGAUGGGGGGACGGAUCGCGGAAGGUUGUCCGGGUGUUGGAAGUCCCGGUCGCUGCAUUGGAGAAGGCGCUUAGGCAAAUCCGGGCGCAGGAUUCAAGGGUGUGGCGCGAGCGACUUAGGUCGCGAAGCAAUUGGAAGUGGUUCCAAGAAAAGCCUCUAAGCUUCAGUCUAACGAUGACCGUACCGCAAACCGACACAGGUGGGCGAGAUGAGUAUUCUAAGGCGCUUGAGAGAACUCGGGAGAAGGAACUCGGCAAAUUGGUACCGUAACUUCGGGAUAAGGUACGCCCUUGUAGCUUGACUGGCCUGCGCCAGGAGGGUGAAGGGGUUGCAAUAAACUGGUGGCUGCGACUGUUUAAUAAAAACACAGCACUCUGCAAACACGAAAGUGGACGUAUAGGGUGUGACGCCUGCCCGGUGCCGGAAGAUUAAAUGAUGGGGUGCAAGCUCUUGAUUGAAGUCCCGGUAAACGGCGGCCGUAACUAUAACGGUCCUAAGGUAGCGAAAUUCCUUGUCGGGUAAGUUCCGACCUGCACGAAUGGCGUAACGAUGGCCACACUGUCUCCUCCCGAGACUCAGCGAAGUUGAAGUGUUUGUGAUGAUGCAAUCUACCCGCGGCUAGACGGAAAGACCCCAUGAACCUUUACUGUAGCUUUGCAUUGGACUUUGAACCGAUCUGUGUAGGAUAGGUGGGAGGCUAUGAAACCGGAACGCUAGUUUCGGUGGAGCCGUCCUUGAAAUACCACCCUGGUUUGUUUGAGGUUCUAACCUUGGCCCGUGAUCCGGGUCGGGGACAGUGCAUGGUAGGCAGUUUGACUGGGGCGGUCUCCUCCCAAAGCGUAACGGAGGAGUACGAAGGUACGCUAGGUACGGUCGGAAAUCGUGCUGAUAGUGCAAUGGCAUAAGCGUGCUUAACUGCGAGACCGACAAGUCGAGCAGGUGCGAAAGCAGGUCAUAGUGAUCCGGUGGUUCUGUAUGGAAGGGCCAUCGCUCAACGGAUAAAAGGUACUCUGGGGAUAACAGGCUGAUACCGCCCAAGAGUUCAUAUCGACGGCGGUGUUUGGCACCUCGAUGUCGGCUCAUCUCAUCCUGGGGCUGUAGCCGGUCCCAAGGGUAUGGCUGUUCGCCAUUUAAAGAGGUACGUGAGCUGGGUUUAAAACGUCGUGAGACAGUUUGGUCCCUAUCUGCCGUGGGCGUUGGAUAUUUGAAGGGGGCUGCUCCUAGUACGAGAGGACCGGAGUGGACGAACCUCUGGUGUACCGGUUGUGACGCCAGUCGCAUCGCCGGGUAGCUAUGUUCGGAAGAGAUAACCGCUGAAAGCAUCUAAGCGGGAAACUCGCCUUAAGAUGAGAUAUCCCUGGAGGCUUGACCUCCUUGAAGGGUCGUUCGAGACCAGGACGUUGAUAGGUCAGGUGUGUAAGCGCAGUAAUGCGUUCAGCUAACUGAUACUAAUUGCCCGUAAGGCUUGAUCCUAUAACA